AGUUGCUUGCUCUAGAUGAAACUAGAAGAUACAGAUGUGAGCUGUUGAAAACAAAUACGACCAUCCUUAAGAGUGUCAUUGAGUCGGUGCCUUGUUUUGGAGAAGGAAAAUAUGUGCUGUAUGAGUUCAAGAAGAUGUUUGGGGGAGAAUUUGCAGACAUUGUAGGAAACACAGAAUUUUGGUGCGGGCUACUCAAAGGCUAAUGGAUACGGUUUUGGGGCCAGAUGCAUUGAAUGCUGAUGAUGAUGGAAAGAAACGAAAUGAGAUCUGGAGUAUUGUCCUUGGAUCCCUGCAGCUAAUUGAAAGCGAGACGAAGUUUGACCGGGGGGAAACAGGGCACAAAACGCCAUCAACCCACAAUUCAAGUGUGCGAGUGUGAAGCGAACACAGAAAUAGAUGUCUUGCAGAAAUCGAAAACCGGCACAGCCCCUACAUUAACG